rnacentral:lncRNA from 1 species
CACCCCUAAUUUACUCCCUCAAGUCUUUGUUUCAUAUUUGCCAAAGAAAAUGAAGUAAGAGCAAGUAUUGUGUUAUGAAAAUGGGUCCCUAACUUCCAACAAGAAGUUUUCAGUUGGUCAAAUUCCCAUCUAACUCUACCUUACUUUUUUGAGAAUCCUUGAUCUCUCACGUCACAACUUGGGGAGAAAUUAGCCAAUUCGUUAAAGAACAACACUAGACUCAAAGGAGCCUACUUUAGAGAUAAUGCAUUUAGAGGAACUCUCAAGUUGCCAGCAAGUACCAAUCUCAAUAUGGAGACUUUUGAUAUUUCUAAUAAUAAAUUUAUUACAUAUUCCAACGAAUAUAAGUGUAAUAAUUCCAAAUUUAAUUCAAAUAAACAUGUCCAAAAUAUGCUUAAUCGUUGUGUAAAUGUUAUGUCAAAGGUCCAAUCGAUUUCAUACAUAAACACUUUCAAUAUGAUUAUUGCAUUUUAUUUAUGGAAAAUAUAUCAUUUAAUUGAAUUAUUAUUCUGAUAAAUUAAAUUAAUAAAGUUGUUACCGUGAAAACAAAUUACAUAUGACUGAAUUUAAAAUUAUACAUAGUAGUAAAUAAUAACAAGAAACGAAUAUCGAUAUUAUGGAUAAACCAGCACGUUUGGAAUUUCUCACUUAUGCUGUGAGUAGCUAAUAUUUAAAUGGAUGCGUGGAUAUUUUAUUAAAGCCCCGUUUGACUCCCAUUAAAUUAUAUUACAUUACAUUCUAUUUCUCUCUCUCUCAUAUUUUCAACCACAUAAUCUUCUAUAAAAUAAUAUUACACGUAAAUCGAAAACUUUUCAUUUCUUUUCAACCACUCAUUUUUCAAAAAAAUACUAUUCCACACAUUUUCAUUACUUAAAAAUGGGGACCAAACAGGGGCUAAGAGAUUUCACCUGGAUAACCAUUCGAGAAUCAAUGGUUAAUCUCUAAUGCUCAAUAGUGUAAUAGGUCCUUAGACUUGAUGUCAUGAUAGUGGCUUAUAUGAAGACAGUCAUAUUUUUGUGGUGUCGGUCAUCCUAAAUCAUCCUAAUGUAUCCAAAAUGUGACCUGCAUCAAUGAUAGAUACUAACUAGAUGUCAGAUCUACCACCAAGGCUGACUAUGAGUCACUCCUAAUUAUUAUCCAAAAUAAGAUAAUUAUGAAUAAGAAAUAAUGCAAUGGCCCAAAAUAAUUAUUUCGUGCUUUAUUAAAAUGACUCAUAUCACUCAACCCCUGUUUGGCCUCCAUUAAAACUCAUCAAUUUAAUUAAAUUUUCUCUUUCUCUUAUUUUCAACCACAUAAUCUUCAAUAAAAUAAUUACAUGCAAAUCGAAAACUUUUCAUUCUUUUACAACCAUUCAUUAUUCAAAGAAAUACCAUUCCCCCAUUAUAAAUCCAAAUAAUGGGGCCAAACAGAGGCUCAAUAUGCCGUCUAGCUUUAACUCCAAAAUCAUUCGGGCUCCUUAAGUUAUCAAGAACCAAUUGCUACCUAUAAGAAAAAUCAUGGGAAAAUAUAUAAGCUGAUAGCUUAGUGAGUGAAAUUUUUGAAAUAUUUAUACUUUCUCAUUUGUACAUAUUUAUCGAAACUCGAGUUCAUGUCAUUUAAUAAUUCAUAAGAUAACUUCAUAUAGUUAUAGCCAAAAAAUGAGAUAUUCUCAUAAUUUUACAAAAUAUCAUCUCAUCCCAUCACAUGUAAUCCACCAAAAAUGUACCAUUUGACUAAAAUUUGUAAUCCGCCCCUCGGGCUAAGCACUUUCGCCAUGGGCCUUUAGCCUCCUUCUUGAACGAAAAAGCGGAUCUCAAAGAUCAACUCUUGAAC